GUGACCGCGGCCUGAUCCGGAACUGGAUUUGGACAGGACACCGGCGCAUGCUCAUCAGAGCCCCUGCGUGGAGCUGCAGGGGUUUGAUCUGAUUGGAUCUGACGCAGGCCGUAGCCCGGGCGCCCCCCUCUGCCUGCCCCCCAGUCCUCAGAGCCCCCGCCGGGAAGAGGCAGGCGUGGGCAGAGAGCCGUGGGUGGAUGGCACAUCCCCAGGGGACGGCUCCUCACGAGCGACCUCGCUGGCCAGGUGCAAAGACCCCGCUCUUUCAUUCCCAAAGACCAUGCUCAAGUCCCUGGAGGUCAGGACACAGACACAGCUCAACCCACUGCAAGUGGGGUGUGCAGCUCAAAGCAGUAAGAGACUGUGUGACCAGAACCGGAGGCCAAACCCACUGUGAGCUCAAGGCCAGCCUGGAAGGCGGAAUGAGACCCCAUCUCAACAGAGGGAGAGAGAGGUUGGUGGGAGCAGCAAUCACUGCUUCCCAGCCUGCAGCUCCUGAGAGAAGCCAGGCCAGCCAUAGGGGCCACGCAGGGAGGCCCAGGAGGCAGAGGCAGGAGGAGACUGUGGAAAGCGGGCUGCACCUGCAAGGCAGAUGAGCAGGCUGCUAGAAAGUUUGAAAUAAGGGGAAGGAGGAAGCACUGGCGGCACGUCUGCAGCUGGGCCUGAUGAGUGAGGUGGGAGUCGUGGGGUCUCUCACCCCACCUGGCUGCUGAUCCUGUCCCAAGCGCUCCAGCCCAACCAGCAGCCGCUUCCGCCCCAGGCCUCCGCUUGGUCCACAGGAAGGAUUCGUGCCCUGCUGGUGUCCUGCGCUGCCUGCCUUCUUCCUGGUGAAUGGAUAUUGACCAGUGGCCGUGCUGCCUUCCUCAGCGCUGCGUGCUGCAGGCACUGGGCUAACUUGCCAGGGGAUCAGUUCCGUGCCUUUGGCUCUAAAUCGAGCCCCUUUGGAGAUAUAUGGAAGCCCUGCUGAAUCUGCGUUAGUGGAGCUCUGGGAACAGGUCACUAAGGGGCAGGAGACUGGGGCUGGGGACAGGACCGGUGCAGCCCCCAGCUUUGCAUCUGUCCUGAAGGGAGCAGGGUGCACGCACUCCGGCCUUCCUGACCUCCCACAGCCACUGCCCCAGAACGGAGCCUCGAUCCUGCCCCAGGCAGCGCCUGCCCACCAGCACCGCUGGCUCAGGGUGCUUCGGGCCCUCAUAAUCUCCAUCAGCGACCGCAGCGCAC
rnacentral:lncRNA from 1 species